AAGUUAAUGCUAAUCGUGAUAGGGGUUUUUCUUCAUCAGACACCUAACAUGUUAGCAUUAGCUU
rnacentral:pre_miRNA from 11 species